CGCCAGACUCCUACGGGAGGCAGCAGUGGGGGAUAUUGCACAAUGGGGGGAACCCUGAUGCAGCGACGCCGCGUGGGUGAAGAAGCGCCUCGGCGCGUAAAGCCCUGUCAGCAGGGAAGAAAAUGACGGUACCUGACUAAGAAGCCCCGGCUAACUACGUGCCAGCAGCCGCGGUAAUACGUAGGGGGCAAGCGUUAUCCGGAUUUACUGGGUGUAAAGGGGGCGCAGACGGCAGCGCAAGCCAGGAGUGAAAGCCCGGGGCCCAACCCCGGGACUGCUCUGGGAACUGUGCGGCUGGAGUGCGGGAGGGGCAGGCGGAAUUCCUGGUGUAGCGGUGAAAUGCGUAGAUAUCAGGAGGAACACCGGCGGCGAAGGCGGCCUGCUGGACCGCGACUGACGUUGAGGCUCGAAAGCGUGGGGAGCAAACGGGAUUAGAUACCCCGGUA
rnacentral:rRNA from 1 species